rnacentral:lncRNA from 1 species
GGUUGCUGGGCCUGUGUGCUCAGGGCAGUCUCUCCAAAGGCACAGAUGGGGUUUCUGAACAGGACCUGGGGAGACAGGCAGGUGCUCACAAAUGCUGCUUCCCCCAACUGGCAACCAGUGAGAAAAAUGCCUGAGUGGAGGUCUGACCUGCCCCAGUCUGGAGGACUGAUGCUCUCUGGAAAGGCCUUUUUUCCACGUGCCAGCUACAGGCCCAGGUUUCCCGAGUUUCUGGAGCCCCUCUUCCAGCCUGGCAAGCAAGGUGUGUCGUAGGGGAAGGACAUCAAGCCUACAGGCAGCAGAGUAUGUUCUCUACCCCUGGAGGCCCCUGGUUGUUUACCUCUUUGGGUGAGAGUCGGGUUAGGAUCUCAACAUUCUUGUAGGACUUCAGAACUGUACAGACAGGGGCCCAGGAGGGAACAGGGGCUGGGACUGGCAGCUAACCAGAGUGGUGGGGGUUGUAGGGCUCAGUUUGGUCUUGCAGGGAAUUCAGGGAGGCUUGGAUUUGCUGAAGCUCUAGAUGAGCUUGGGCUUGGAUAUGGAAAC